rnacentral:misc_RNA from 1 species
UCCGGCUUAACGCCGGCAGUUUCCUUAGAGUGCCCAACUGAAUGCUGGCAACUAAGGAUGAGGGUUGCGCUCGUUGCGGGACUUAACCCAACAUCUCACGACACGAGCUGACGACAGCCAUGCAGCACCUGUCACCGAUCCAGCCAAGCUGAAGGUAAAGAUCUCUCUAAACCGCGAUCGGGAUGUCAAGGGCUGGUAAGGUUCUUCGCGUUGCCUCGAAUUAAACCACAUGCUCCACCGCUUGUGCGGGUCCCCGUCAAUUCCUUUGAGUUUUAAUCUUGCGACCGUACUCCCCAGGCGGAGUGCUUACUGCGUUAGCUGCGUCACUGAAAUCUAAAGAUUCCAACAACUAGCACUCAUCGUUUACGGCGUGGACUAC